UAAUACAAAAUGCUUAAUUUUACUAAGGAUCGAUUGUUACAUUAGAUGUUUUAGAUUUCUUUAGAAACUUUUGUUUGAUUGUGUAAGUCAAUUUGUGAUUGGUUGAGAAAAAAGUUUUUUUUUUAUUUGUUUUUUUUUAUUGUUUUCUCUCGCGUCUUUCUCUCAUCUCUCUCUCGAUUACGAUUAAUGUCGAUGGCCAAAGCUAAGAAGAAGAAGAAGAAGCCAUGAGAGGUGAAACAAUCGAAUAACAACAAAGUCAAUCCCUGUUCUUUGGUAAGAGAUUUUGCGGCGACAGUUUCCUUUGGGUUUCAGAUUUCGUGUCCUUGUGAUACACGAGAUUUAAACUCCAGCCCAGUUGGAAGAUGCAUUUUCUUUGUUUGCCAAUACCGGCCCUGAGGAUUUCAAGGGAUGGAGUUUCAGCAGAAGUUUUUUCGGUAUUGUAGGUUUUGAUGGAAGAUAGUGUGGGUUAUGAUGCUAUAAAGAGGUUACUGAGAGCGAAAAACGGGAAAACACAAGAACAAGAUUAUGACCCAGGUCCCAGCGACGACGACGACUAAUUUGGAUUAACAAAAUCAGAGCUUUCUAAUUAUAUGAUGUUGAAAUCAGAGCUUUUAUAGUUGAUCUAAGUUGUGGAUUCCUCAAUUCUGAGUUUAAGCUUUAAACUCUUAGUUGUUUUACUUAUUGGGUUUGUCAAAGCUUUAUUCAUGUUUAGUAGAUUGGAUUGAAGUUUAUAUGUGUGUAUAUGAUUUGUGGUCACCUGGCUCUUUGCUUAA